AAACGACUCUCGGCAACGGAUAUCUCGGCUCUCGCAUCGAUGAAGAACGUAGCGAAAUGCGAUACUUGGUGUGAAUUGCAGAAUCCCGUGAACCAUCGAGUCUUUGAACGCAAGUUGCGCCCCAAGCCAUUAGGCCGAGGGCACGGCUGCCUGGGUGUCACUC
rnacentral:rRNA from 1 species